GUUUCAGGAUGUCAAACAUGAUUUUCUUAAAAAUGCUUGACAGCAAAUGUCCUUUUUAUUUAUUAAAACAAUGUCUGAUAUGUUUAAAUGCAUUUUAACAAUAAAAAAAGUUAAAAAGGGCCUAAAAAUCUCAUUACCGCAACCAUUGAAAACUGUCAAGAACAUAGCAUCUUUUUCUUAAAAAAAAAAAAGCCAUGAUACCCAAGCAAUGUCGUGGCAUACUUUACAAUGCAAGUUAGAUAAUUAGAUAAUGCAUAUAAUUUGGUAGUUUUAAAGUAUUGCACAUUUUAUUGGUGCAAAGUGCAGAGAUAGGUUAGGUCUAUAUAUUAUGUAAAACAUUUUCAAUUGUUUUUCAUUUUACAUAACUUUUUUAAUUUUAUAAUUAUAUUUUUUUUUAGAUCCUUACAUCAGCCUUCAUGCAUCAACUAACAGCUUGCUGUUAGGCUAAAUGAAAUGGACGUGCAAGUUUUGCACCUACUUCACAAACUGUCGUCAGAGAAUACUACAGCAUUAUAAGUCAAGUCAUUGUCACCACGGAAAAAGAUUUGGUUUCCCUUGUGUUUAUGGUGAUUGUGUGUGCUAUUUUAGGUCACACAAAUCUCUCCAAACUCACGUAAGACAACAUGGAUUUUGCCAGAGUGAAGUUCUGAACCGUAGAAUUAAGUGUCUGUUGUGUGACUUUAAUGAGGUUGUAAAUGUUAAAGACUACUUUCAUCAUCUUGGAUGUCAUUUGAAAUGCAAGGAAACAGUUACAUGCCCAUAUAAUAACUGUUUCUUUAAGUGUUCUGUGUAUUCUAGUUUAAGGUCACACAAAAGUCGUUAUCACAACUCAGAGUCUUUUGAAGAUUUUAAAUCUGAGCUUGUUGAUGAUUCAUUAAGAGUGUCUGAACAACCAGACAAUGUUGAAACAUGUACAAAUUCAAAACCUAUAGAUACUGCCUCAUGUUCAGUUGUUUAUGAAAUUGAUUGUGCUGAUGUUGAGUCGGACAAUGAAUCUCAAAAUGAUGAUGAAAGUGACAUCAAGAGACGGCUUGGAUUGCUGCUUCUCCGUAUGCAAGCCGUUUUACAUAUAUCCAAGUCAGCCACUCAAGAAAUUGUAGAUGAACUGUAUGACAUUGGUGUUUUAACUGGUGAACUUUCAAAGAACUCUAUAAAAAGAGCUCUCCAAAAAAGUCAAAUAAGUGACACCACAAUUGAGUUGGUUACAAAGUGUCUUCAAGAAAACAAUCCAUUUAGCUGUUUGUCAAGUAUAGGUAAUCUUGGAACAGAAUAUAAGCGGGGACUUUAUUAUAAAGAGAACUUCAGUGUUAUUGACCCUGUUGAGUAUGUUUUAGAUGGUUCAGAAAAGAAAACCUUUGUGUAUGUACCAAUUUCUAAGGUAUUACCUGCCUUGUUAAACAGAGGUGAUGUCAUAGACAAAAUUCUUGAACAAGUAAACUCACCAUCUGAGUAUAGUGUAUAUCAAUCUGUUCGUGAUGGUUUACACUUCAAAAAUAAUACGCUUCUGUCUGGUGACAAGUUGUGCAUUUCUCUGGGGUUAUAUAUAGAUGAAUUUGAAAUUUGUAAUCCUUUGGGAACCUCACGAAAAAAACACAAGGUUACUGCAAUAUACUGGGUGUUGGCAGAUUUGCCUGUAAAAUAUAGAUCAGCUUUAUCAAGCAUAUACCUUGCUAUCCUUUGCAAAAGCAAUGAUUUGAAGACUUUCGGAUACAAACAAGUAAUUGAACCACUUCUGAAAGACCUUAAUGUGCUUGAAAACCAGGGAUUUUACAUUAGCCGUUUGGAUACGUGUGUUAAAGGUACAGUUCUUUAUGUUUCAUCAGACAAUUUAGGAGCACAUUCUUUUGCUGGCUUUCAAGAGUCAUUUAAUGUGGAAAGAUUUUGCAGAUUCUGUCUUGCUGGCCGCAAUGAAAUUCAGACAGUUUCAGUAAGAUCAGGUACAUUUCCAAUUAGAACCAAACUGUCCUACAAUGAUGCAAUCAAGACUUUAAAAGAGCAGGAAACUUCAACAGUUGAUGGAGUAAAGCGUGAAUGUGUCUUAAAUGAACUGAGCUACUUCCACUGUGUUACUGGCUUUCCUCCGGAUUUUUUGCAUGAUUUAUUGGAAGGAAUUGUACCUGUGGAACUUGGUCUAUGUUUAAAGACACUGAUUGGCAAGAAAUACUUUACAUUUGAGGAACUUAAUACUGCCAUCCAGAAUUUUCCCUACAGAUUUUCUGACAGUACAAAUAGGCCACAGAAAAUCACAAAGACCUUUACUGUUAAUGGUACAAUUGGAGGGAAUGGACAU
ensembl:lncRNA